rnacentral:rRNA from 1 species
UGCCUCGGGGGGCAGCAGUGAGGAAUAUUGGUCAAUGGCCGCAGGGCUGAACCAGCCAAGUCGCGUGAGGGAUGACGGUCCUAUGGAUUGUAAACCUCUUUUGUCAGGGAGCAAAGGGCGCCACGUGUGGCGUUUUGCGAGUACCUGAAGAAAAAGCAUCGGCUAACUCCGUGCCAGCAGCCGCGGUAAUACGGAGGAUGCGAGCGUUAUCCGGAUUUAUUGGGUUUAAAGGGUGCGUAGGCGGUCCGUUAAGUCAGCGGUAAAGUUGCGGGGCUCAACCCCGUCGAGCCGUUGAAACUGGCAGG